UACGGAGGGUGCGAGCGUUGUCCGGAAUCAUUGGGCGUAAAGGGCGCGUAGGUGGCGGGACAAGCGUGCGGUGAAAGCCUGGGGCUCAACCCCGGGUCGGCCGUGCGAACUGUUUUGCUUGAGCACUGUAGAGGCAGGCGGAAUUCCGGGUGUAGCGGUGGAAUGCGUAGAGAUCCGGAAGAACACCGGUGGCGAAGGCGGUCUGCUGGGGUGAUGCUGACACUGAUGCGCGACAGCGUGGGGAGCAAACAGG
rnacentral:rRNA from 1 species